rnacentral:rRNA from 1 species
CCUACGGGAGGCAGCAGUGAGGAAUAUUGGUCAAUGGGCGCGAGCCUGAACCAGCCACGUAGCGUGAAGGAUGACUGCCCUACGGGUUGUAAACUUCUUUUAUAAAGGAAUAAAGUGAGGCACGUGUGCCUUUUUGUAUGUACUUUAUGAAUCCGGAACGGCUAACCCCGUGCCAGCAGCCGCGGUGAUACGGAGGAUCCGAGCGUUAUCCGGAUUUAUUGGGUUUAAAGGGAGCGUAGAUGGGUUGUUAAGUCAGUUGUGAAAGUUUGCGGCUCAACCGUAAAAUUGCAAUUGAUACUGGCAGUCUUGAGUACAGUUGAGGUAGGCGGAAUUCGUGGUGUAGCGGUGAAAUGCUUAGAUAUCACGAAGAACUCCGAUUGCGAAGGCAGCUUACUAAACUGCCACUGACAUUGAGGCUCGAAAGUGUGGGUAGCAAACAGGAUUAGAUACCCCUGUAGUC